rnacentral:rRNA from 1 species
CUAUCUCAAUGAUAAAAAGGAUCAAGAUUUGCAAAGAUAUCAGUGUCAUUCGUCUGGGGUUUGCCAAGAAAACGUUUAAAAGUUGUCCAAGAAGAGUAAUAUGAAUACUGAGUGCGAGGGGACCUUCCUGAUAUAAUUCUGACAUGUCUACUACUCAAUGAUGUCUGCAGAAUUACCAAUAUAGUCCCAGCCCUAAAGUUCCUCGUUUUUAUGGUUGUAUAGCCAGCACAUCCUACGCGUCAGUGAGCAUUGCAGGAGCAGGAACAGAAAUUAGAAUAUUUGUGGUGAUUUCAGUCAAAAUAUUAGAUAUAUGAGGCUUCCAGUACUUUUUCUCGCACAAAGGGCAGUGAAUCAACAAUUAGAGAAACUUGUUAGGGCAGCGAAUUGAAGUUAAGAGAAAGUUCUGAUGAUCCACAGGUAAAUCACAAAUCCAAGCACUUAAGCCUUCAAGCCACGAAUAGGUGGGACCCCAUUAGAUUAAAGAACCAAACGAAAAGUGCAUGUAGGCGGCAGUUUGGUCAGAUGUGAAGUCCCCUGGUUCAACCCGGGAACAACAUUGGAAAUAGGCGGGUUAGAGUCUUCAGAGGGUUGUAGAAUUCCUUGUGUAGCUGUGAAAUGCGUAGAGAUCUGGAGGAAUACCGGUGGCGAAGGCGGCCCCCUGGACGAAGACUACGUCAGUCGAAGUAGUCCGCAUCC